CUGCACAGUAUACCGUAGCUUCGACUAUAGGGUGGGUACUAUUCAUCCGAGUUCUUAGCUCUCAACAGGCUCUCCCCCCUCCACCUCCAGCCGUUUUAGGCAUAACAACUAAGAAACUCUACGAGACAAACAAGUAGGCUAUACAUUUUAAUAAUAAAGAGCUAACUAGACUGAGAGAUAGCAAGAAACCUUACGGCCAAUACGCCAGCUAUAUUAUUAACCUUGCUUUUAGGAAUAUGAAUUUUGUGAACAAACUUUGCAAUGGAAC
rnacentral:lncRNA from 1 species